AAAGUUUUAAGUUAAAUUAAACUAUUAACCUUCAAAGUUUAAAAUACAUAUUAUGUGUAAGCUUUA
rnacentral:tRNA from 1 species